rnacentral:lncRNA from 1 species
AUGUUGCAGGGGUCUUCGUUGGCAGCACGAAUACUCUUACCUGAUCACUGUCUUGAGAUGCAGAAGAGAACCAGAUUCUACAAGUCCUCAUUUCCUUCAGCUCUGCUUCCUUCAAAUGUUCCGGAAGAAUGGCAUCAGAAAAGGGAUCUGAGGCAGCAACAGACCCUGUUUGGGAGGCAGAUGAAGGCAGAAGAGAGAUCAAUUUGCCUCUGGUUACUUGAAUCACUAUGACUGCCUAGCACUGGGCUUAUGUCAUAUUCACAGAUCACCCCUGAAACAGGCUUCCGCACUACUGGGAAGCUCCUGAGUUAGAUGCUAAUUCCCAAAUAUGACUGAACAUGUUGCAGAAGGAACAUUAGAUCAUCUGCAGUGCACCAUCUGGAGGCCCUGUGGAAUGCAAAGUCUUCUUUGAGACCUGGUGACCAGGUAAGCAGACUCCUUGCAGGAACCCUGUCCCAAAGGCAGCCUCCUCUAGCAUCAUUUCAGGGGCAACACCCCAUUUUAUUCAUAGGGGACAUUUUACACACCCUCCUUUUUGUAUGUGUUGGUUUGGUUUGUUCUAUUUCAGUGAUCUUGUAAUGAGCAUGCAUUUCUAAUUGUUCUAGAUCACACUUUCUCUAAAAUCUCAGCCAAGACAAGCAGGACUUCCAGAGGACAAGAAGGCAUUUCCUCUUCUGAAAAAUGAAGGUGUGGUGGACUAUGGAAUUUCUCCAUAAAUUCCUCCAGGAAGGCCAGAGCAGAGCUGUUCAUCAGCUUUGAGGAGUUUUAAAGGCACAGGUUGCUUGCUCCACACGCUGUCCCCUGCUUCCCAAAUAAAAAGCAAUGCACACCUUGGUACAGGGGAAACCUGAGGGCAUGUGGGAUCAGUGUUGGAAAUCAGUAGGGAACAGGCUUGAUCUUGACAGUAAGGAUGUGGGGGAGUAUCCUUAACUAAUUCUGAGUCACCAGGAGACCGAUUUUCCAGCAGGAGGAGGAUCAAAAGAGGUAAGAACACCCAGUUCAAGCUGCUUCAACUUGGGAAUAUUUAAGAGGGCAGUCGGAUGGAUUUUGCUGCAUAGCAUCGUUCUCUUUGUGAACAUGCACCCUUCAGAUCAGUGUCUUCAAGGAGCUGCCUUGCAUGGAUCUGAUCAAGGGAUAAAUAUACUUGUAUUUAACAUAAAAAUCUGAGAACUUUCAUCUUCAACUACUCACAUUUAAAUCUCUUGCUAUUUCUCACGGGGCUGGGAGAACAAGAGUCAAAUUCACAUAGUUACCCACUUCAGAGAAAAUCAUGGCUCAUUUUUAGGUUAUACAGUUCCUGCCCAGGUGGUGACGCUAAGAUGGAACUUACUGAGGGUACCGUCUUGUCUUCAC